rnacentral:rRNA from 1 species
GCCUGGGGAGUACGGCCGCAAGGCUAAAACUCAAAGGAAUUGACGGGGGCCCGCACAAGCAGCGGAGCAUGUGGCUUAAUUCGAAGCAACGCGAAGAACCUUACCAGGGCUUGACAUAUGGGUGAAGCGGGGGAGACCCCGUGGCCGAGAGGAGCCCAUACAGGUGGUGCAUGGCUGUUGUCAGCUCGUGUCGUGA